GACGAACGCUGGCGGCGUGCUUAACACAUGCAAGUCGAACGGAAAGGCCCUGCUUUUGUGGGGUGCUCGAGUGGCGAACGGGUGAGUAACACGUGAGUAACCUGCCCUUGACUUUGGGAUAACUUCAGGAAACUGGGGCUAAUACCGGAUAGGAGCUCCUGCUGCAUGGUGGGGGUUGGAAAGUUUCGGCGGUUGGGGAUGGACUCGCGGCUUAUCAGCUUGUUGGUGGGGUAGUGGCUUACCAAGGCGUUGACGGGUAGCCGGCCUGAGAGGGUGACCGGCCACAUUGGGACUGAGAUACGGCCCAGACUCCUACGGGCGGCAGCAGUGGGGAAUAUUGCACAAUGGGCGGAAGCCUGAUGCAGCAACGCCGCGUGCGGGAUGACGGCCUUCGGGUUGUGAACCGCUUUCGCCUGUGACGAAGCGUGAGUGACGGUAAUGGGUAAAGAAGCACCGGCUAACUACGUG
rnacentral:rRNA from 1 species